rnacentral:rRNA from 1 species
UACGGGGGGUGCAAGCGUUGUUCGGAAUCACUGGGCGUAAAGCGCGUGUAGGCGGAAUGGCAAGUCAGAUGUGAAAGCCCAGGGCUCAACCCUGGAACUGCAUUUGAAACUGCCAAUCUAGAGUACGGUAGAGGGAAGGGGAAUUCCCGGUGUAGAGGUGAAAUUCGUAGAUAUCGGGAGGAAUACCAGUGGCGAAGGCGCCUUCCUGGGCCAGUACUGACGCUGAGACGCGAAAGCGUGGGGAGCAAACAGG